GACGAACGCUGGCGGCGUGCUUAACACAUGCGAGUCGAAUGGAAAGGCCCUGCUUUUGUGGGGUGCUCGAGUGGCGAACGGGUGAGUAACACGUGAGUAACCUGCCCUUGACUUUGGGAUAACUUCAGGAAACUGGGGCUAAUACCGGAUAGGAGCUCCUGCUGCAUGGUGGGGGUUGGAAAGUUUCGGCGGUUGGGGAUGGACUCGCGGCUUAUCAGCUUGAUGGUGGGGUAGUGGCUUACCAAGGCUUUGACGGGUAGCCGGCCUGAGAGGGUGACCGGCCACAUUGGGACUGAGAUACGGCCCAGACUCCUACGGGAGGCAGCAGUGGGGAAUAUUGCACAAUGGGCGGAAGCCUGAUGCAGCAACGCCGCGUGCGGGAUGACGGCCUUCGGGUUGUAAACCGCUUUCGCCUGUGACGAAGCGUGAGUGACGGUAAUGGGUAAAGAAGCACCGGCUAACUACGUG
rnacentral:rRNA from 1 species